GGCGGUGGGGGUGCUAUACAUGCGUCGAGCGGACAGAAGGGAGCUUGCUCCCGGAUGUUAGCGGCGGACGGGUGAGUAACACGUGGGUAACCUGCCUGUAAGACUGGGAUAACUCCGGGAAACCGGAGCUAAUACCGGAUAGUUCCUUGAACCGCAUGGUUCAAGGAUGAAAGACGGUUUCGGCUGUCACUUACAGAUGGACCCGCGGCGCAUUAGCUAGUUGGUGAGGUAACGGCUCACCAAGGCGACGAGCGUAGCCGACCUGAGAGGGUGAUCGGCCACACUGGGACUGAGACACGGCCCAGACUCCUACGGGAGGCAGCAGUAGGGAAUCUUCCGCAAUGGACGAAAGUCUGACGGAGCAACGCCGCGUGAGUGAUGAAGGUUUUCGGAUCGUAAAGCUCUGUUGUUAGGGAAGAACAAGUGCAAGAGUAACUGCUUGCACCUUGACGGUACCUAACCAGAAAGCCACGGCUAACUACGUGCCAGCAGCCGCGGUAAUACGUAGGUGGCAAGCGUUGUCCGGAAUUAUUGGGCGUAAAGGGCUCGCAGGCGGUUUCUUAAGUCUGAUGUGAAAGCCCCCGGCUCAACCGGGGAGGGUCAUUGGAAACUGGGAAACUUGAGUGCAGAAGAGGAGAGUGGAAUUCCACGUGUAGCGGUGAAAUGCGUAGAGAUGUGGAGGAACACCAGUGGCGAAGGCGACUCUCUGGUCUGUAACUGACGCUGAGGAGCGAAAGCGUGGGGAGCGAACAGGAUUAGAUACCCUGGUAGUCCACGCCGUAAACGAUGAGUGCUAAGUGUUAGGGGGUUUCCGCCCCUUAGUGCUGCAGCUAACGCAUUAAGCACUCCGCCUGGGGAGUACGGUCGCAAGACUGAAACUCAAGGAAUUGACGGGGGCCCGCACAAGCGGUGGAGCAUGUGGUUUAAUUCGAA
rnacentral:rRNA from 1 species